GUUAUAUAUGUUUCUUUCAUGGAGAGUCAUAUCGAAAAUAAGGUAGUUGGCCACGAGAUCCAAGGCCCAUCUUUGACAGCUAUUCAUCAAGUUCAGGUUCGAGAUUCUGACCCAGUUGCUAAGAAAGAUUGCUGCCUUUUCUCUUCUGCCAACAUCCACCAAUGGGACCCCUCCGCCCCACCCACCUUGUGGAGUCUAUGAGGAUUUGGAUUAGUCUUCAGAUUAAAGAAAGAGAUGCCCACUCUUGUCAAGAUUAAGCUUCAGAUGAAUUGAAAAAAUGCCGAACCUCCUUUUUCCCUCUCGGAAGGAAAGAUAACUACCCUUUACCAUCAGCCCAGAACGAGAGGAAAUAUUGGUAAAUAAUUUUAUCUGGCUUUCUUGUUCCAUUAUUGAUGUAAAUUUUGAUUUCUUUUUCAUUUCCUACGCAAAGUUGUACAUGUAUGACCCUUGAUCCUCUCACACUGCAAGAUAAUAAGCUCAGUGAUAUCGAAAUACACAUUUGCAAAUGGACGUGCUAUAGAUAACUCAUAGUCCCUAUACUUCUUCCCAAAGAAGUUCAGGGAAUCUAUUAUGAUUUUUUUUCAGGGAAAUUAUUACGAUGCAAUUGUCCAUAUUUUACCCCUUCUUUUCACCAGAAGAGUGGUAAUGUCGCCAGACAUUUCAAUAAAAAAAUAAAUGGGAUCUGUUCAUGAUCAUCUGAGUUAUCAAUAUGCAUCAACCCUUAGUCUGCACUAACAAACAAGAAUCUGAAGACAAUCAUGGAGACUGCAAUUGCACAAGAAAACAUUAGAAGUUCAAACAUGGAAUAGAUACAACUGAGAGCUGCUCAGAAGGAUGAAAUCAAUGUCUUAAAGACUAGCACAAGUUGUCAUACAGCUGAAUGAAAAAAGAAAAAGGACAGUACAUUCGUUAAUCAAUUCUCAAUUAUGAUAUUAAUAUGGCGGUCAAAUGGAUGAUGGUUACUUUAUUUCACUCUAUUUUAGUGAUUUGACCAGAA